rnacentral:rRNA from 1 species
UUAAGCGACUAAGCGUACACGGUGGAUGCCCUGGCAGUCAGAGGCGAUGAAGGACGUGCUAAUCUGCGAUAAGCGUCGGUAAGGUGAUAUGAACCGUUAUAACCGGCGAUUUCCGAAUGGGGAAACCCAGUGUGAUUCGUCACACUAUCAUUAACUGAAUCCAUAGGUUAAUGAGGCGAACCGGGGGAACUGAAACAUCUAAGUACCCCGAGGAAAAGAAAUCAACCGAGAUUCCCCCAGUAGCGGCGAGCGAACGGGGAGCAGCCCAGAGCCUGAAUCAGUGUGUGUGUUAGUGGAAGCGUCUGGAAAGGCGCGCGAUACAGGGUGACAGCCCCGUACACAAAAAUGCACAUGCUGUGAGCUCGAUGAGUAGGGCGGGACACGUGGUAUCCUGUCUGAAUAUGGGGGGACCAUCCUCCAAGGCUAAAUACUCCUGACUGACCGAUAGUGAACCAGUACCGUGAGGGAAAGGCGAAAAGAACCCCGGCGAGGGGAGUGAAAAAGAACCUGAAACCGUGUACGUACAAGCAGUGGGAGCACAGAGCAAUCUGUGUGACUGCGUACCUUUUGUAUAAUGGGUCAGCGACUUAUAUUCUGUAGCAAGGUUAACCGAAUAGGGGAGCCGAAGGGAAACCGAGUCUUAACUGGGCGUUAAGUUGCAGGGUAUAGACCCGAAACCCGGUGAUCUAGCCAUGGGCAGGUUGAAGGUUGGGUAACACUAACUGGAGGACCGAACCGACUAAUGUUGAAAAAUUAGCGGAUGACUUGUGGCUGGGGGUGAAAGGCCAAUCAAACCGGGAGAUAGCUGGUUCUCCCCGAAAGCUAUUUAGGUAGCGCCUCGUGAAUUCAUCUCCGGGGGUAGAGCACUGUUUCGGCAAGGGGGUCAUCCCGACUUACCAACCCGAUGCAAACUGCGAAUACCGGAGAAUGUUAUCACGGGAGACACACGGCGGGUGCUAACGUCCGUCGUGAAGAGGGAAACAACCCAGACCGCCAGCUAAGGUCCCAAAGUCAUGGUUAAGUGGGAAACGAUGUGGGAAGGCCCAGACAGCCAGGAUGUUGGCUUAGAAGCAGCCAUCAUUUAAAGAAAGCGUAAUAGCUCACUGGUCGAGUCGGCCUGCGCGGAAGAUGUAACGGGGCUAAACCAUGCACCGAAGCUGCGGCAGCGACGCUUAUGCGUUGUUGGGUAGGGGAGCGUUCUGUAAGCCUGUGAAGGUGUACUGUGAGGUAUGCUGGAGGUAUCAGAAGUGCGAAUGCUGACAUAAGUAACGAUAAAGCGGGUGAAAAGCCCGCUCGCCGGAAGACCAAGGGUUCCUGUCCAACGUUAAUCGGGGCAGGGUGAGUCGACCCCUAAGGCGAGGCCGAAAGGCGUAGUCGAUGGGAAACAGGUUAAUAUUCCUGUACUUGGUGUUACUGCGAAGGGGGGACGGAGAAGGCUAUGUUGGCCGGGCGACGGUUGUCCCGGUUUAAGCGUGUAGGCUGGUUUUCCAGGCAAAUCCGGAAAAUCAAGGCUGAGGCGUGAUGACGAGGCACUACGGUGCUGAAGCAACAAAUGCCCUGCUUCCAGGAAAAGCCUCUAAGCAUCAGGUAACAUCAAAUCGUACCCCAAACCGACACAGGUGGUCAGGUAGAGAAUACCAAGGCGCUUGAGAGAACUCGGGUGAAGGAACUAGGCAAAAUGGUGCCGUAACUUCGGGAGAAGGCACGCUGAUAUGUAGGUGAAGUCCCUCGCGGAUGGAGCUGAAAUCAGUCGAAGAUACCAGCUGGCUGCAACUGUUUAUUAAAAACACAGCACUGUGCAAACACGAAAGUGGACGUAUACGGUGUGACGCCUGCCCGGUGCCGGAAGGUUAAUUGAUGGGGUUAGCGCAAGCGAAGCUCUUGAUCGAAGCCCCGGUAAACGGCGGCCGUAACUAUAACGGUCCUAAGGUAGCGAAAUUCCUUGUCGGGUAAGUUCCGACCUGCACGAAUGGCGUAAUGAUGGCCAGGCUGUCUCCACCCGAGACUCAGUGAAAUUGAACUCGCUGUGAAGAUGCAGUGUACCCGCGGCAAGACGGAAAGACCCCGUGAACCUUUACUAUAGCUUGACACUGAACAUUGAGCCUUGAUGUGUAGGAUAGGUGGGAGGCUUUGAAGUGUGGACGCCAGUCUGCAUGGAGCCGACCUUGAAAUACCACCCUUUAAUGUUUGAUGUUCUAACGUUGACCCGUAAUCCGGGUUGCGGACAGUGUCUGGUGGGUAGUUUGACUGGGGCGGUCUCCUCCUAAAGAGUAACGGAGGAGCACGAAGGUUGGCUAAUCCUGGUCGGACAUCAGGAGGUUAGUGCAAUGGCAUAAGCCAGCUUGACUGCGAGCGUGACGGCGCGAGCAGGUGCGAAAGCAGGUCAUAGUGAUCCGGUGGUUCUGAAUGGAAGGGCCAUCGCUCAACGGAUAAAAGGUACUCCGGGGAUAACAGGCUGAUACCGCCCAAGAGUUCAUAUCGACGGCGGUGUUUGGCACCUCGAUGUCGGCUCAUCACAUCCUGGGGCUGAAGUAGGUCCCAAGGGUAUGGCUGUUCGCCAUUUAAAGUGGUACGCGAGCUGGGUUUAGAACGUCGUGAGACAGUUCGGUCCCUAUCUGCCGUGGGCGCUGGAGAACUGAGGGGGGCUGCUCCUAGUACGAGAGGACCGGAGUGGACGCAUCACUGGUGUUCGGGUUGUCAUGCCAAUGGCACUGCCCGGUAGCUAAAUGCGGAAGAGAUAAGUGCUGAAAGCAUCUAAGCACGAAACUUGCCCCGAGAUGAGUUCUCCCUGAC